rnacentral:rRNA from 1 species
GAUGAACGCUAGCGACAGGCCUAACACAUGCAAGUCGAGGGGCAGCAUAAAGGUAGCAAUACUUUGGUGGCGACCGGCGCACGGGUGAGUAACACGUAUGCAACCUACCUGUAAGAGGGGAAUAACCCGGAGAAAUUCGGACUAAUACCGCAUAAUACCUCGAAGCUGCAUGGCUUUGAGGUUAAAUAUUUAUAGCUUACAGAUGGGCAUGCGUAUGAUUAGCUAGUUGGUGAGGUAACGGCUCACCAAUGCAACGAUCAUUAGGGGUUCGGAGAGGAAAGUCCCCCACAUUGGGACUGAGACAAGGUCCAAACUCCUACGGGAGGCAGCAGUGAGGAAUAUUGGUCAAUGGGCGCUAGCCUGAACCAGCCAAGUCGCGUUAAGGAAGAAGGUUCUAUGGAUUGUAAACUUCUUUUGUAAGGGAAUAAAGUUCACCACGUGUGGUGUUUUGUAUGUACUUUACGAAUAAGGAUCGGCUAAUUCCGUGCCAGCCGCCGCCGUAACAC